UAAAAUUUCUUAGAGGAUAAGGUGGAAAAUGUGUGCGCUGUUGAAUAUGAAAGCAUGUCAAGAUAUUGUUAAUGGUACUUUGAGCUUUGAGACAUGGUUAUUUUACUACAUGAUGGCAUCCCAAGGGAAACAGCCGAGAAGGUCGAGAGCAAAGCUUCCUUUCAGGUAGCUGACCAGAAACAAAGAAAGAGAAAUCCAUCAGCAAUUCUUGUUAGCCAUCAAUGGCGCGGUUCAGCCAUGCUUCAAACUUGGCCGGUGGAUUCAGAUCGAAACGCAGUUCUGAAAUAUCUACUUAUUAUGUGUUUUUUUUUUCUAUUUGGGAUCCAUAUCGAAUUGUUCUUGUAAUGUGAAUUAGGCUCCUAUACUAUUACUAGAAUCAAGCGCUUUGUGCUACUAGAUUUUUGGCCCUUAGAUGCAUGGAUAUGAAUAGAUGUGCAG